rnacentral:rRNA from 1 species
GGUUAAGCGACUAAGCGUACACGGUGGAUGCCCUGGCAGUCAGAGGCGAUGAAGGGCGUGCUAAUCUGCGAUAAGCGCCGGUAAGGUGAUAUGAACCGUUAUAACCGGCGAUACCCGAAUGGGGAAACCCAGUGUGACUCGUCACACUAUCAUUAACUGAAUCCAUAGGUUAAUGAGGCGAACCGGGGGAACUGAAACAUCUAAGUACCCCGAGGAAAAGAAAUCAACCGAGAUUCCCCCAGUAGCGGCGAGCGAACGGGGAGGAGCCCAGAGCCUGAAUCAGCAUGUGUGUUAGUGGAAGCGUCUGGAAAGGCGCGCGAUACAGGGUGACAGCCCCGUACACAAAAGCGCAUGUGCUGUGAGCUCGAUGAGUAGGGCGGGACACGUGGUAUCCUGUCUGAAUAUGGGGGGACCAUCCUCCAAGGCUAAAUACUCCUGACUGACCGAUAGUGAACCAGUACCGUGAGGGAAAGGCGAAAAGAACCCCGGCGAGGGGAGUGAAAAAGAACCUGAAACCGUGUACGUACAAGCAGUGGGAGCACCCUUUGGGGUGUGACUGCGUACCUUUUGUAUAAUGGGUCAGCGACUUAUAUUCUGUAGCAAGGUUAACCGAAUAGGGGAGCCGGAGGGAAACCGAGUCUUAAUUGGGCGUUAAGUUGCAGGGUAUAGACCCGAAACCCGGUGAUCUAGCCAUGGGCAGGUUGAAGGUUGGGUAACACUAACUGGAGGACCGAACCGACUAAUGUUGAAAAAUUAGCGGAUGACCUGUGGCUGGGGGUGAAAGGCCAAUCAAACCGGGAGAUAGCUGGUUCUCCCCGAAAGCUAUUUAGGUAGCGCCUCGUGAAUUCAUCUCCGGGGGUAGAGCACUGUUUCGGCUAGGGGGCCAUCCCGGCUUACCAACCCGAUGCAAACUGCGAAUACCGGAGAAUGUUAUCACGGGAGACACACGGCGGGUGCUAACGUCCGUCGUGAAGAGGGAAACAACCCAGACCGCCAGCUAAGGUCCCAAAGUCAUGGUUAAGUGGGAAACGAUGUGGGAAGGCCCAGACAGCCAGGAUGUUGGCUUAGAAGCAGCCAUCAUUUAAAGAAAGCGUAAUAGCUCACUGGUCGAGUCGGCCUGCGCGGAAGAUGUAACGGGGCUAAACCAUGCACCGAAGCUGCGGCAGCGACACUAUGUGUUGUUGGGUAGGGGAGCGUUCUGUAAGCCUGCGAAGGUGGCCUGUGAGGGUUGCUGGAGGUAUCAGAAGUGCGAAUGCUGACAUAAGUAACGAUAAAGCGGGUGAAAAGCCCGCUCGCCGGAAGACCAAGGGUUCCUGUCCAACGUUAAUCGGGGCAGGGUGAGUCGACCCCUAAGGCGAGGCCGAAAGGCGUAGUCGAUGGGAAACGGGUUAAUAUUCCCGUACUUGGUGUUACUGCGAAGGGGGGACGGAGAAGGCUAUGUUGGCCGGGCGACGGUUGUCCCGGUUUAAGCGUGUAGGUGUGUGUUCCAGGUAAAUCCGGUUCACUUUAACACUGAGGCGUGACGACGAGGCACUACGGUGCUGAAGCAACAAAUGCCCUGCUUCCAGGAAAAGCCUCUAAGCAUCAGGUAACAUCAAAUCGUACCCCAAACCGACACAGGUGGUCAGGUAGAGAAUACCAAGGCGCUUGAGAGAACUCGGGUGAAGGAACUAGGCAAAAUGGUGCCGUAACU